GAUGAACGCUGGCGGCGUGCUUAACACAUGCAAGUCGAACGGAAAGGCCCAAGCUUGCUUGGGUACUCGAGUGGCGAACGGGUGAGUAACACGUGGGUGAUCUGCCCUGCACUUCGGGAUAAGCCUGGGAAACUGGGUCUAAUACCGGAUAGGACCACAUUUUGGAUGGUGUGGUGGAAAGUUUUUCGGUGUGGGAUGAGCUCGCGGCCUAUCAGCUUGUUGGUGGGGUAAUGGCCUACCAAGGCGUCGACGGGUAGCCGGCCUGAGAGGGUGUACGGCCACAUUGGGACUGAGAUACGGCCCAGACUCCUACGGGAGGCAGCAGUGGGGAAUAUUGCACAAUGGGAGCAAGCCUGAUGCAGCGACGCCGCGUGGGGGAUGACGGCCUUCGGGUUGUAAACUCCUUUCGCUAGGGACGAAGCGUUAUGUGACGGUACCUGGAGAAGAAGCACCGGCUAACUACGU
rnacentral:rRNA from 1 species